CUUGUCCUCACUAAUCUCGGGCUAUAUAUAGUAAUCUGUGUUACUAUUGUGUUACUGUAGGCAAGUUUGACUGACAUGAGUGCAGGUUUCAGACCGUCAAGCAGGCGAUAGAACCACAUCAAAAUGCCUUUUGGAUUCAUAAUCAUCACUGGCUUACUAGCUUUCGGAGCAUAUUGGACGACCAAAUACCUGAUGAGCAUGCCAGACCCCAUGGGAUCGUUAACAACAUCGACGACUCAUGCACCUACCUUACCAACCACGGGUAUCUAGUAACCAUGGCAACCAAGUGAACAACAGAUAAUCUUAUUGAUACAGCGCUUUCAUACAAGAGGAUUAUUGACGCGCGUCGAAAAACCGUGAGCGGAAAAUAUCCGUCACACGCUUGCAGGCGGUAUAUUCUGUACCUAUAUAGUCGUCAAUUGUUUACGCUAUGGCUCAUACGUUCUACAAGGGCCGUUUGAACUGGGUACAGAGUAUUUUUAUAAAUGGAACCGAGCGGAAUAUCCGCUAGUGUGAAAGCGCUGCUAUAUUUCCAAAAAGGAAAAAUAGUUCUAACGAAUUUUCUAGUAUUUCAUAAGAUACCUACAAGGGUUUGUUUUUAUUUUGUAUGAUAAUGUAAUUAAAUAAAUUGUUUGCUUCUA
rnacentral:lncRNA from 1 species